rnacentral:rRNA from 1 species
GUGGGGAAUAUUGCACAAUGGGGGAAACCCUGAUGCAGCGACGCCGCGUGAGUGAAGAAGUAUUUCGGUACGUAAAGCUCUAUCAGCAAGGAAGAAAAUGACGGUACUUGACUAAGAAGCCCCGGCUAACUACGUGCCAGCAGCCGCGGUAAUACGUAGGGGGCAAGCGUUAUCCGGAUUUACUGGGUGUAAAGGGAGCGUAGACGGUAUGGUAAGUCAGAUGUGAAAGCCCGGGGCUCAACCCCGGGACUGCAUUUGAAACUAUCAGACUAGAGUGCAGGAGAGGUAAGUGGAAUUACUAGUGUAGCGGUGAAAUGCGUAGAUAUUAGGAGGAACACCAGUGGCGAAGGCGGCUUACUGGACUGUAACUGACGUUGAGGCUCGAAAGCGUGGGGAGCAAACAGGAUUAGAAACCCUUGUAGUCC